rfam:Acyrthosiphon pisum strain LSR1 Contig15399, whole genome shotgun sequence.
CAGAAUAAAAGCAGACCAGAUUUAUGUAGCAAAUCCAGUUUUGACCGUGGCCGCCUGGUGUGCUCUUAUUCUGAA